GAACGCACAUUGCGCCCUGUGGUAUUCCGCAGGGCAUGCCUGUUCGAGCGUCAUUU
rnacentral:rRNA from 1 species